rnacentral:rRNA from 1 species
GACGAACGCUGGCGGCGCGCCUAACACAUGCAAGUCGAACGGACCUGCGAGAAGCUUGCUUUUCUUAGCUUAGUGGCGAACGGGUGAGUAACGCGUGAGUAACCUGCCUUGGAGUGGGGGACAACAUUUGGAAACGACUGCUAAUACCGCAUAAUCUCUCGAUCCGCCUUCGUCUUUAGUGAAAAGGAUUUUUUCUCUUCAGGAUGGACUCGAGUCCAAUUCGCUAGUUGGUGGGUUAACUGCCCACCAACGCGACGAUUGGUAGCCGGACUGAGAGGUUGAACGGACACAUUGGGGCUGAGACACAGCCCAGAAUCCUACGGGAGGCAGCAGUGGGGGAUAUAGCAAAAUGGGGGAAACGCUGAUGGAGCGACGACGGGAGGAGGAAGAAGGUUUUCGGAUUGUAAACUCCUGUCGUUAGGGACGAUAAUGACGGUACCUAACAAGAAAGCACCGGCUAACUACGUG